rnacentral:hammerhead_ribozyme from 1 species
AUCCAAACGACGAGUCCCAAAUAGGACGAAACGCGCGUCCUGUAU